rnacentral:lncRNA from 1 species
AAGAAAAGUGAUUUUUUUUUGUUUCAAAUGAAAGUAGAGAGAAUGAAUCUAGUGCUAGAAUUAAAAAGUUUCCCCCUCCGUCUCAUAAUAAGUAUCUUAUUUGAGUUAUGUGCGGUUCUUAAAAAAAUGAUUAGAUGUGUUGAUUUUAAUGAUAAAAUUAAUAUCAUUUACUAAAAUAGUCUUAUUUAUUAUAGUUAGUGGAGUUGUUGAAAAGAGUGAAAGUUAAUAGAUAGGGGUAAAG